GACGAACGCUGGCUGCGUGCUUAACACAUGCAAGUCGAACGGUAAGGCCCUUCGGGGUACACGAGUGGCGAACGGGUGAGUAACACGUGGGUGAUCUGCCCUGCACUUCGGGAUAAGCCUGGGAAACUGGGUCUAAUACCGGAUAGGACCACUGCCUGCAUGGGCGGUGGGGGAAAGCUUUUGCGGUGUGGGAUGGGCCCGCGGCCUAUCAGCUUGUUGGUGGGGUGAUGGCCUACCAAGGCGACGACGGGUAGCCGGCCUGAGAGGGUGACCGGCCACACUGGGACUGAGAUACGGCCCAGACUCCUACGGGAGGCAGCAGUGGGGAAUAUUGCACAAUGGGCGCAAGCCUGAUGCAGCGACGCCGCGUGAGGGAUGACGGCCUUCGGGUUGUAAACCUCUUUCAGCACCGACGAAGCGCAAGUGACGGUAGGUGCAGAAGAAGGACCGGCCAACUACGUGCCAGCCGCCGCCGUAA
rnacentral:rRNA from 1 species